rfam:Triticum aestivum genome assembly, contig: Triticum_aestivum_CS42_TGACv1_scaffold_147181_2BS
UAUAUACUCCCUCCGUCCUAAAAUUUUUAUCAUAGAUUUGUCUAGAUACGGAUGUAUCUAAUAUUUGAUACAUUUAUAUCUAGAUAAAUCUAAGACGAGAAUUUUGGGACGGAAAGAGUACGUA